UACAGAGGGGGCAAGCGUUGUUCGGAAUUACUGGGCGUAAAGGGCGCGUAGGCGGCCUUCUAAGUCAGACGUGAAAUCCCCCGGCUUAACCUGGGAACUGCGUCUGAUACUGGAAGGCUUGAGUUCGGUAGGGGAGACUGGAAUUCCUGGUGUAGCGGUGAAAUGCGCAGAUAUCAGGAGGAACACCGGUGGCGAAGGCGGGUCUCUGGGCCGAUACUGACGCUGAGGAGCGAAAGCGUGGGGAGCGAACAGG
rnacentral:rRNA from 1 species